CCUACGGGUGGCAGCAGUGAGGAAUAUUGGUCAAUGGGCGCGAGCCUGAACCAGCCAAGUAGCGUGAAGGAUGAAUGCCCUACGGGUUGUAAACUUCUUUUAUAAAGGAAUAAAGUGAGGCACGUGUGCCUUUUUGUAUGUACUUUAUGAAUAAGGAUCGGCUAACUCCGUGCCAGCAGCCGCGGUAAUACGGAGGAUCCGAGCGUUAUCCGGAUUUAUUGGGUUUAAAGGGAGCGUAGAUGGGUUGUUAAGUCAGUUGUGAAAGUUUGCGGCUCAACCGUAAAAUUGCAAUUGAUACUGGCAGUCUUGAGUGCAGGUGAGGUAGGUGGAAUUCGUGGUGUAGCGGUGAAAUGCGUAGAUAUCACGAGGAACACCGAUUGCGAAGGCAGCUUACUGAACUGCAACUGACGCUGAUGCUCGAAAGUGUGGGUAUCAAACAGGAUUAGAUACCCGGGUAGUC
rnacentral:rRNA from 1 species